GAGGCGGCGGCUACAAUGCAGUCGAGCGGAUGAUAACAGCUUGCUCUUCGAUUCAGCGGCGGACGGGUGAGUAAUACCUAGGAAUCUGCCUGGUAGUGGGGGACAACGUUUCGAAAGGAACGCUAAUACCGCAUACGUCCUACGGGAGAAAUCUCGUGACCUUCGGGCCUUGCGCUAUCCAUGAGCCCUUGUCGGAUUACCUACUUGGUGAGGUAAUGGCUCACCAAGGCUACGAUCCGGAACUGGUCUGAGAGGAUGAUCACUGACAGUGGAACUCAGACACAGUCCAGACUCCCACGGGAGGCACUACUGUGGAAUAUUGUACGAUGGGCGAAAGCCUGAUCCAGCCAUGCCGCGUGUGUGAAGAAGGUCUUCGGAUUGUAAAGCACUUUAAGUUGGGAGGAAGGGCAGUAAGCGAAUACCUUGCUGUUUUGACGUUACCGACAGAAUAAGCACCGGCUAACUCUGUGCCAGCAGCCGCGGUAAUACAGAGGGUGCAAGCGUUAAUCGGAAUUACUGGGCGUAAAGCGCGCGUAGGUGGUUCGUUAAGUUGGAUGUGAAAUCCCCGGGCUCAACCUGGGAACUGCAUCCAAAACUGGCGAGCUAGAGUAGGGCAGAGGGUGGUGGAAUUUCCUGUGUAGCGGUGAAAUGCG
rnacentral:rRNA from 1 species